rnacentral:rRNA from 1 species
CGCUGGCGGCGUGCUUAACACAUGCAAGUCGAACGAGGAUCAAUUUGGAAAGCUUCGGCCGGAAGGAUUGAUUCGAGUGGCGGACGGGUGAGUAACGCGUGAACAAUCUGUCCCAGACAGGGGGAUAACACUUGGAAACAGGUGCUAAUACCGCAUGAGACCACAGUAUCGCAUGGUACAGAGGUAAAAGGAGCGAUCCGGUUUGGGGUGAGUUCGCGUCCGAUUAGCCAGGUUGGGGGGUAACGGCCCACCAAAGCGACGAUCGGUAGCCGACCUGAGAGGGUGAUCGGCCACAUUGGAACUGAGAGACGGUCCAAACUCCUACGGGAGGCAGCAGUGGGGAAUAUUGGGCAAUGGGCGAAAGCCCUGACCCAGCAACGCCGCGUGAGUGAAGAAGGCCUUCGGGUUGUAAAGCUCUGUUACAGGUGACGAAGGAAGUGACGGUAGCUUGUAAGGAAGCCCCGGCUAACUACGUGCCAGCCGCGGC